ensembl:lncRNA novel transcript, sense intronic to ADARB2
CCCUCCCUCUCCCUCUCUCUCUCCUUCCCUCCCUCUCCCUCUCUCUCCUUCCCUCUCUCCAUGGAAGGAUGUUAUGUAUCUUAGCAACAAAGGCUUUGGAUUUUCCCCUCCAGUUACUGACAAGAAACCAGAAUGAUUUCUGGUGUCAGAAACCUUCCUCGAACAAGGAGCUUUCUCUGGAGAACAGGCUCCGAGCAGCCACACGUCAUUCGACCUCUGUUCCCCGUUGGGGUGUCCUCAGGCCAGGACAUCCUGGCAAGUGGGCCGUCAGCGGGCAGUGGCAUCGCAGCCUCAGCCGGGAGACCCAAGUCACUCCUCUCAGAAGCGCGGCACCCGAACCACCUCUGUUCAUCACAUUUUGUCCCGUGGAGCAGUGACAAGACCCAGCAAGAUUUCAUGGCGACAGAACUUGAAGGUUUCAGGGCGACGGAACCUGAGAGUGAUACAGACAUUUUGAUUCCUGGUGCAACAGGGUAUGAAGAAAACACAUACCUAAUUUUAUCGGAAAAGAUAUACUGAGUGUCUAUGCAUGCUGUGAUUUGAAAGAAAAUCACUCAGUAGAGAAGGGCCUCAGGUCACAAGCCUUUUGUCUAAGUGAGGGGGAUAAAAAGGCUUCACAGUAGAGUGACAAUUACUAAUCCUGCGACAGUAAUAUAUGCAACUUUUAAAUUUUUUUCUAAACAUUUAUUUUGUGACUACUCUGUUUCAAUGCUCCCUGGGAGUGAAAAACAAGAUUCUAGCCAGGUGCGGUGGCUCACGCCUGUAAUCUCAGCACUGUGGGAGGCUGAGGCGGGAGGAUGGCUUGAGGCCAAGGAGUUCGAGACCAGCCUGGGUCACAGAGUGAGGUGCCCUCCCCUACCCACUCCCAGACUAUCUGGAAACACCCAGUGCAGACAAGGUCAAGUCAGCUUAACACACGCACGCCGAUAGUGGUGAACGCUGCUUUCUGAGCGGCUGGCGAGGUCAGUCUUAGGAAAGUUGGUGGCAGACGCGAACAGCCCCACUGGAAUUGGUAACUUGGAAGGCGCAGCUCCACGGACACAGCCACGAUAUGCCUUCUGCCGCCACACAGCCCCUGACCUGCCGCAGUGCCAGGCAUGAAGCCUCUGCCCAGCCAGGCCUCGGGGUCCUCUCUAGGGAAACACAGGCUCCUUCUCCUCUCCUGGCUUUCUCUAGGCCCUCCAGACACCAGAUGGAAAUCUAAUGGAACCCACACACCAUGCAUUCUGCAGGGCUGAGCUCGGCUUCCUCCAGGACACCACAGGAGCCGUCUUGGUUGCAUGUUUGUCCAAAUUUAAAACUUCACCCGGCCGAGGUGGGCCAUCUGUGGCUUCGUCUGAGAUGCUUACUUUUCGCAGGAUUUUCUUGGAGCUCUGGGACCUGGUGGGGCGCUCACUCCAUGCAGUUGCUUUCACUCCACCAGGGACAUCGGGUAUGUAAAUAAACAAAAAUAUUGCAGGAUUGUGCAGGGAACACAGCAUUACAGAGGUGCUGGUGGUUUUGCUGUGAGGAGGGAACAUGGACCAGAGGACUGCGUUUUCUACACACACUGAGCUGUGAAGGAGCUCCGACCCCGCUCCUCUGGGAGCCUGCAGGAUGCUCAGCAGCGGCACCCAGGCUGCCUCAGGGACCCAGGUGCAUUGGGAACAACUUGGCAAUUUUCAUCCACUGAUUUCUGUUCUCCAGAUCCUGCUUUCAGGAUAGGGAAAGACUCAGGGGCAAAGUCAUGGGACAAAGAGGUCUGAGGGCCCCCACCUCUGUGGCACUGGAGGCCUGUGUAACAUCAGCCUCCCUGGUGAUUUUGCAGAAGAGGGGUUGGCGUUCCUUAGAUGCUCACUUAAAGGCUUUUCUUGAAUUUAACAGAAGCUGGGAAGUAAAUAUUACUUUCUUUAUGAAACAACUACUUUUUCCAAGGGAAUCUCUUUCUCUAGAUGGCCUGAAAUGAUUCUUCUGGUUUUUAUCUUUUUAAAUCCAGAUGAAUGCAAAUAACCAUGAAUCAGCCCCAAACGGAGGACCUCAUCUGUUUGCACCCUCAUGUCAGCACACAAAUGAGAAUUUAAAGAUCCUAAUUAAACCCGGGCUCAAAAUAUCUUCCUGAGUAGACCAGAAAGCACCAGUUUCACAAAAAAACAGAAAUAUGCAUCUUCCCAAUGUGGUUUUUAGUUUAUUUUCUGUGUUUUAAUGGUAUUCAAAUUUGAAGUUGAUUGCUAAAGCAGUAACUACCGUUAAUGUGUGUAAACAGAUUUGUGGAUAUUUAACGAUUUAGGAAACUGUGGACGACUACUUUACAUAAUCAACAGGUAGACAGACAGAUGUCAGCACACACAACCGUCAACCCUCAGUUGCUCAAGGCUGAAUGUGGGAUCUCUCAUCUCAGGCUUGUUUGAAAUCCUCAAUUAGUGAAAAGCCCUUGGAAGGCACCUCUAACAUUGUGGUCAGGAGCCCAGAUUUUGGAGCUAGAAUUUAAACAUAGGGAUAGGGAUUUCAUUCCAAGCAUCCCACCAACUGCCUGAGCCUGUGUCAGCGAGCCAGCCCACCUCCCUGUGCUGAUUGUCUCAUCCGUGCAGUGGGGGUGUGGACACCUGGUCCUGGGGACCCCAGCAUCUGGCUUCAAUGUCGAUGUCCUUCCGCCGACCAGGAGGGAGGCCCUUCUCCACUCUGCUGCAGGCGUGGGUCACCUGUGAGUCCCUGCAGGCCUCCACUCUCUGCUGGAGGUGCCCGUGAGCUGGACAAUGGCUGGGGCUGAUUCAUAAAAUAAACAACAACAUGCAGAGGACAGAAUCCACUUGUCAGACAUGGGGGAAAAGGUAGUCAGCUCCUGACCUUGCAAAGCCUCAGGCACCAAGAGAGACUCAGCCUCGUAUGACUCAGUCCCUGCUUUUGCUCUAUACAGAUCCUUCAUUUUAAAGCCGUAUUUUCUUCAUUUUCCCUAGAUGGAUUCUUUACUGUAACUAAUUAUGUCGGAUUAAAACAUGCUAACAACAC